rnacentral:tRNA from 1 species
GGGGCUAUAGCUCAGUUGGGAGAGCGCCUGGAUCGCACCCAGGAGGUCGCCGGUUCGAGUCCGGCUAGCUCCACAA